rnacentral:rRNA from 1 species
GUGACUAUAUGUUUAACGGCCGCGGUAUUUUGACCGUGCGAAGGUAGCGCAAUCACUUGUCUUUUAAAUGGAGACCUGUAUGAAUGGCACGACGAGGGCUUAACUGUCUCCUUCCCCAAGUCAAUGAAAUUGAUCUCUCCGUGCAGAAGCGGGGAUAGACCCAUAAGACGAGAAGACCCUAUGGAGCUUUAGACACUAAAACAGCCCAUGUUAAAAACCCUCACAAAAGAGACUAAACUAGAUGGUCCCUGUCCUAAUGUCUUUGGUUGGGGCGACCACGGGGUAACAAAAAACCCCCGCGCGGAACAGAAACACUGUUUCCAGAACCAAGAGCACCCGCUCUAAGUAACAAGACCCACUUGACCUUUGAGAUCCGGCAUUAGCCGAUCAACGGACCGAGUUACCCUAGGGAUAACAGCGCAAUCUUCUUCGAGAGUUCAUAUCGACGAGAAGGUUUACGACCUCGAUGUUGGAUCAGGACAUCCUAAUGGUGCAGCCGCUAUUAGGGGUUCGUUUGUUCAACGAUUAAAGUC